AACCUUCGGGUGAGCAGUAAAGGAAUGUUGCAACCUUUUAUCAUAAUCCAGCAUGCCAAGCGUUUGAAGGUCUCCAUCCUCCAGAACUUUAACAACAUCUGUGAACGGAAUUUCCAUUUUGCCAAUAUGAAGAAGGAAAACAAUCAAAAACAAUCAAAUCAUUGUUUGGCAGUUUGAAUACAUAUACAGCAACAGUAAUGUCCUAUUUAUUCCCAUAAUUUGUAGGCAGAUUCACACGACUGUUCUCUUACCAGUUACAGGGUCAACCUUCGGGUGAGCAGUAAAGGAAUGUUGCAACCUUUUAUCAUAAUCCAGCAUGCCAAGCGUUUGAAGGUCUCCAUCCUCCAGAACUUUAACAACAUCUGCGAGCGGAAUUUUGAUUUUGCCAAUAUGAAGAAGGAAAACAAUCAAACAAUCAAAUCAUUGUUUGGCAGUUUGAAUACAUAUAAAAUAGUUUCCGAGACUUAAAAGGG
rnacentral:lncRNA from 1 species